rnacentral:lncRNA from 1 species
UCAUAUAAAUUAUGUAAAUAAUUUGUUAUUAGGAAUUGAGCUCCUAUACUUUUAAAAGUACCAAGUCAUUGGUGCUUGUAAGUUUUCGGCCCUUGGAUUACAGGAUGUGUGGUUAGGAUAAUGUGGGCCCCCCUAGGGUUGAGUGGGUGGUUGGUUGAAUAGUAUAAUCUAACGGAUGAAAAUGAUCGAAGACGUAGAUCUAACGGUAAAAAAUUUACAAGCACCAAAUACUUGGUACUUUUACAAGCUCUAUAGCCGGACUCUAUAUAUAUAUAUAUAUAUCAUAUAUAUAUAAAAGCACGCAUUUCAAAUUUCGGUCUGUCGGCAGACCCUUUUUUGGCGGAAAAAAAAAAUUGAUUCCUCUUUCCUUACGUAAAAUAAAUAAUAGAAUUAAAAAAAUUUUUAUUUCCUCUUUAUUUCUACAACAUAAAAAAAUUUAUGCUUAUCCAAAUUUUUACCAAUCUGAGAAUAUCUAUUGUGAAUUUUUAUUUAAUUCGUUUUUAUCUCUAACUAUAAUAUAAUAUCUAUACUAUCUAGCAUGUAUUUCAAAUUUCAAUAUGUCGGUAGACCCAUUUUUAGGCGGAAAAAAAAUUUGAUUCCUCUUUCAAUCGUAAAAUAAAUAACAUAAUAAAACAAACUUUUAAUUUAUCUUUACCUCUAAAAUAAAAAAAAAUAUACUUAUUCAAAUUUUGCCAACUGAAAGACAUCUAUUGUUAAUCUAUAUUUUAAUUCAAAAUUUGUUUAAUUUUUUUUAUCUCUAAAAUAGAAAUAAAUUCAUGCUUAUCCAAAUUUUUGCUAGAAUAUCAAUAUGCUUUAUCCAUCUAUUUUACAUUAAAAUUUAAAUUUGAGUUUAAAUCAUGAAUUAAAUUUAAUUUUUGAUUUUGGCUAUCAAAUCUAUCAAUCUAUUUUAUAUUAAAAUUUAAAAUUGAUAUUAUAGAUAUUUUUUAAUAAAAUAUAACAUAUAAAUUUAUAUAAUAUUUAAUUCUAAACUUUUGAAUAAAUAUUAUUUACAAAUUUUUAUUGAUUUAAAAUAAAUUAAAAUAAUUGUUACGUGCAUUUGCACGUACGCUCAACUAGUAUAUAUAAAAGCACGUAUUUCAAAUUUGGGUCUGUCAACAGACCCAUUUUUUAGCGGACAAAAUAUUGAUUUCUCUUUCCGUACGUAAAAUAAAUAACGUAAUGAAACAAAUUUUUCAUUUCUGUUAAUCUUUAAAAUAGAAAAAAAUAUAUUUAUCCAAAUUUUUGCCAACUGAAAGAUAUCUACUGUGAAUCUAUAUUAUUUAAUUUUUUAUCUCUAAAAUAGAAAAAUAUUAUGCUUAUCCAAAUUUUUGCCAGAAUAUCUACAGUAAAUCUAUAUUUCAAUUCAAAAUUUAAAAUUAAUUUAAAAUUUAAAAUUUUGGGACUAUCAAUAUAUUACAAUGCAAAUAAUUUAAAAGAUAGAUUGGUUGAUAAAUUUAUCAAUCAUAUUUUUGAAUUAAUAUGAUGUACAAAUUUAUGAUCAAUUUGUAAAAAAUUAUCUCAAAUAAGAACGAACGAUUAUGACUAAUUUGUUAAAAAAAAAUAUUUAUACUUAUCUAUAACUUCAAUUCUAUGAAUGAGUAUGAUCAAUUGGUUAAAAAUAUUAAAAAUAAAAAUGAAAAUCUGUUAAAAAAAGCACUUAUAUCUAUUCAUUUUACAUUAAAAUUUAAAUUUGAGUUCAAAUCGUGAAUUAAAUUUAAUUUUAAAAAUAUAGAAAAAUAUUCAAUGUAUAUCUAUAUCUAUCCUAUAUUUAAAUUUUAUAAAAUAAAAAUAUAUAUAUAAUUAUUGUUGACAGCAACUAUUUAAAUUUGAGUUAGAAUAUAUAUAACAGGUAUUUUCUAAUAGUACAUAAUAAAUAAAUUUAUUUUUAAAAAAUAUUAUAAAUUUUUGAAUAAAUAUGAUGUACAAUUUCAUAUUAAUUUAAAAUAAUUAUUAAAUAAUUAAUUGUUA